AUGAUAUGGAGGGUUGGGUCGGGAGAAAAGAUUAAUAUAUGGUCUGAUCCUUGGUUACCCUCAAAUGAUACCCGGCGCCCCCAUACGCUCCAAGGAGGACAUCUACUCACUAGAGUUUCUGAGCUUAUUGACCCAAGUACAAAUCGAUGGGACAGAGAUUUGGUCCGACAAAAAUUCUGCCCCGAGGAUGUGAGAACCAUUCUGAGCAUCCCAAUAUGUGAUCAAUACGAUGAUUUUGUUGCGUGGCACUUUGACAAAAAGGGGAUGUUUUCAGUCAGGUCGGCGUAUAGGGUACAUGUGCAUUUGCUACAGCAACAGAGAGUACGUCAAGUGGGUGUAAGCUCAGCCGGCCAGGAGAGUAUCACAAAUUUCUGGAACAUGCUUUGGAAGAUUAGAUGUCCACCUAGGGUGCAUCAUUUUAUGUGGAGGUUUGCACAUAAUAGCCAUCCCCUUUUGCGCAAUAUCGAGAGACUUACAAUUGAGUUGGACACACGAUGCUUCCUCUGCCAUCGACAAUCUGAAGAUGGUGGUCAUCUGUUCCUGCGCUGCAAAGAAGUAAAGAAAAUGUGGAGGUGCUGUGAUCUGGAGCAUAUCAGGUGGAAAUUACUUCUAUGUGAGUCUCCUAGGGACUUGCUUGAUGCUGUUUUUAAGCUCCCAGAAGUAGUAAAGCUGCGCACUAUCUGCUUGCUUUGGACUUGGUGGUCUGAGAGGAACAACGUUAAUCAUAAUAAG
rnacentral:rRNA from 1 species